GAUGAACGCUGGCGGCGUGCCUAAUACAUGCAAGUCGAGCGAACAGACGGGGAGCUUGCUCCUCUGACGUUAGCGGCGGACGGGUGAGUAACACGUGGAUAACCUACCUAUAAGACUGGGAUAACUUCGGGAAACCGGAGCUAAUACCGGAUAAUAUAUUGAACCGCAUGGUUCAAUAGUGAAAGACGGUUUUGCUGUCACUUAUAGAUGGAUCCGCGCCGCAUUAGCUAGUUGGUAAGGUAACGGCUUACCAAGGCAACGAUGCGUAGCCGACCUGAGAGGGUGAUCGGCCACACUGGAACUGAGACACGGUCCAGACUCCUACGGGAGGCAGCAGUAGGGAAUCUUCCGCAAUGGGCGAAAGCCUGACGGAGCAACGCCGCGUGAAUGAUGAAGGUCUUCGGAUCGUAAAACUCUGUUAUUAGGGAAGAACAAAUGUGUAAGUAACUAUGCACGUCUUGACGGUACCUAAUCAGAAAGCCACGGCUAACUACGUG
rnacentral:rRNA from 1 species